rnacentral:rRNA from 1 species
GAUGAGCGCUGGCGGCGUGCCUAAUACAUGCAAGUCGAGCGAACAGACGAGGAGCUUGCUCCUCUGACGUUAGCGGCGGACGGGUGAGUAACACGUGGAUAACCUACCUAUAAGACUGGGAUAACUUCGGGAAACCGGAGCUAAUACCGGAUAAUAUAUUGGACCGCAUGGUUCAAUAGUGAAAGACGGUUUUGCUGUCACUUAUAGAUGGAUCCGCGCCGCAUUAGCUAGUUGGUAAGGUAACGGCUUACCAAGGCAACGAUGCGUAGCCGACCUGAGAGGGUGAUCGGCCACACUGGAACUGAGACACGGUCCAGACUCCUACGGGAGGCAGCAGUAGGGAAUCUUCCGCAAUGGGCGAAAGCCUGACGGAGCAACGCCGCGUGAGUGAUGAAGGUCUUCGGAUCGUAAAACUCUGUUAUUAGGGAAGAACAAAUGUGUAAGUAACUAUGCACGUCUUGACGGUACCUAAUCAGAAAGCCACGGCUAACUACGUG